UACGUAGGGGGCAAGCGUUAUCCGGAUUUACUGGGUGUAAAGGGAGCGUAGGCGGCGAUGCAAGUCAGAAGUGAAAGCCCGGGGCUCAACUCCGGGACUGCUUUUGAAACUGUGUUGCUAGAUUGCAGGAGAGGUAAGUGGAAUUCCUAGUGUGGCGGUGAAAUGCGUAGAUAUUAGGAGGAACACCAGUGGCGAAGGCGGCUUACUGGACUGUAAAUGACGCUGAGGCUCGAAAGCGUGGGGAGCAAACAGG
rnacentral:rRNA from 1 species